AGGCUCACUUUGAGAUAGCCUCUUAUGAGGUCAGCAUUGAUCGGGAUUUGCAUGCCGUACAGGUGCAUCAGCGACUAUGUUGCAUCCAUGUGCUUUGUCCGUCACUGCUGUCAUUCUGUCGUGGUCCCCAUGGGAACAACAGCGAAGGAGGAGAUGGCUCAAUUUUGGGAUAAAAACACCCAGUCGAACCGUCCCAUGUCCCCUCAUAUCACCGUCUACAAGUGGUCUCUGCCCAUGAUGAUGUCCAUCGGCCACCGUGGCACUGGUGUUGCAAUGAGUGCAGGAGUCUCUCUCUUUGGCCUGGCUGCCUUGAUUCUCCCAGAACAGUUCCCCUAUUACCUGGCAUUUGUGAAAUCGCUGAGCCUGGGGCCUGCUCUGAUCUACUCUGCUAAGUUUGUUUUGGCUUUCCCCCUCACCUACCACACCUGGAACGGAAUCCGACACCUUAUGUGGGACAUAGGAAAAGGAUUUAAGAUUCCCCAAGUCUACCAGUCUGGAGUCCUGGUCCUGGUCUUGACCCUGCUUUCCUCUGCUGGACUCGCAGCCAUGUGAAGGCACCUCCCUCCUGAAGCCCUCCCUUCUCCUACAGGGAUUUGAUUCAUCUGGUGAUCUGAUCCAGACAGAGCUCAGUAUGUGUGUAUGGAGCCCUGAGUGAUGUGCUGUCUCCAGCUAUCCUAGCCCAGCGGUUUCCCAGAACACCCUUCCAGAAUGCCACGGGCAGGAGUCCCAGGCCAGGAUGUUCAAGACUCUAGGUAGCCACAAGCAGCUGGUAACUGACAGCUGAUUAGCAGUUGAUUCCGAUCCACUUAGAGCAUGCUCAGAGGAGCUGCCUUCCUUAAUUCAUUGCUGUUCUUUCAAACUAACUCUGGUUCACUUGCUUUCUGCUCUGCCCUGAAGCUUGAGACAAUACUGGCACUGUGUGCCCCCUCACUGGGCCUGAGCGGGGUUGGGGGAGGAGAUGCGAGUGCCUCUAGCCUAGCGUCUGUGUGUAGGCUCACGUAAAAGACAACUGUCCCCAUUGAUGCUGGUGCUGGUUCUAGGGCAAGCAGAGACUGAGCCGCCGACGCCAGCGCCCGUGAUGCUAGUAAGGGGAAUGAGGAAUUUGAUGCUGUCUUGGGUACAAUGCCUAACUGCUGGAAUCUGGCUUUCUGCUGCAGUCAGCAUCCUGUGGGCUUUACAGUGGGGAGAGGGGCAGCCUGUAGCGAGCCCAGUGCUUGGGGGCUGAGUAUGUUGAGUUCCAAGUGCUCUGUGCAGCAGCUCACAACUCUUCCAGCCGAUCAAGGAUAAGCACCUGUAUAUUUUUGGAGUCUUCAAUCAAAUCUGUUCUUUUUUUUUCCCUCUGAAAAUCUGUUCUUUGAACCUUUUGGAUGAGUGCCAAUGCCACAGUCUCCCCCCACUGUGUACUGUCACUCCAGCCCGUGUGUUUGUAACAGACCCACCCUCCCCAGUAAAGCAGGCUUGCUCUUCCACACCGCACGCUGGCAGCUGAGUUCUUGGUACAGAUUUUUCAAAUGAGCUGCCAUUUUGGCUUUUCGAUAGACUCUAAUGCAACAUCCGAAAUUUGAACAGAGACGCAUGGAGAAUUUACCCUGAGUGGAUGGAGAAUGUCGUGUUCUUUUCAGAGAAGCAGUGCAGAGGUGUGUGGUAUGAUAUGGGAGUCGGGGCCCUCUGAUCUCAUGUAAUGGAGCCCAUAGUGACUGGCUACACCUUUGGUAUGCAGUUGAGAAGCCUGACACUGUGGGCCUGCACCCCAUGGUCAUUUACACUGAUGUGAAAUGCUCCCGGCUCAGUGUGGUGGCAUUUCAGACCCAGUCCGUGCUCGCUUUGUGCUAGUGCCCCAGGUGCAGGCUGCUGGAGAGUCCGCCCAGGGGGCUAGAGAUUGCGGCUAAAACCCAGUGUGCUCCAGUAGUUGCAUUUACACUUGGAGACUUGGUUCUGCUCUAACAAGUGACUGUAAAAAUGGCCCCUUCCUAUUUAGGGGCUCUGCCUCCUCUAUGGAGCAGUUGGAGCUGUUGACUCUACUGUCUGCAGGAAGGGUUUUCCUCCCCCUCUAUUGAUGCUGUGGAGCCAGCAUGGACUGUCCUGAAACAUGAAUUCCGCUGGCUCCAGAGUGGCUCCAGGACAGCAAUAGCAGCACAAGGUUCCUCCCACACAGUGCUUCAGCUCUGGGUGCUUUGGUGUCCAAUGCCUAGUGAGGGUUUGGCCUCGGAGAGUAACAGUGACGUUAUGACUCCCCUGACAGCACUAGGCCCUAGUGUGCACUACCUGCAGAUGCAUUUACCACUGGGUUGUCAUGGGGUUAAGAAGCCUGUGGCUAUAACCACUCGAGCCUGUGCUGGUGGCAGAGCAGUGUGGGGGGAGUGCCCUAUAACUGUCAGUGAAGGUGCAGACCCAGAGAGGCAGUGGUGCAUGGGCACCUCUCCCGGAGGAGGCAGAGAGAUGAUUUCCCUUCCCUUCCAAAGUCAUGGAGCCAGCAAACAGUGCUGCCUUUUGGUGGCUACCAGUUUUAGUCUUUCACUGGUAAUUCCCCCACCCCAAGUGAGCCAGUGAGUAGUGACCAAACAGAAGCAUGGACUGAUCUGGAGGCCUCAGUGGUAAGGUCAGGGCCUGGUGCAAGUGGUGACCAUGGACAGAGGAGUGUCUGCUUAAAGUGCCCUGAAAAGCAUUUAUGCAAGAUGGGGUGUGGGUGCCGUGUCUGUGCUGGAUCAGAAGGCCUGGCAGGGGCUGAAAGGAUUUUUUGCUUUUAGAAAUAUUAGCAGCGUCCAGUCUGCUUGUCCUGGUUUUGCUGUGGGAUGUCUGUCCGGGGUCUCAGGAUAUCUAUGAAGGGAGCACUAAAAGCCCUAGCUAAGAGGGAAGAGGUGGAGUCUUUGGCAAAGGCUUCCUUUAUCCAAAGGGUUAGUCACUGACAUUAGAUUCAUCAAUUCCAAGGCCAGAAAGGACCACUGUGAUCAUCUUGUCUGACCCCUGGGAUAACACAGGAGAGAAACGCCUCAAAAUAAUUCAUAGAGCAGAGCUUUUAGAAAAAUGUCCAAACUUGAACUAAAAAUUGUCGCAAGGGAGAAUACCUUGGUAAAUUGUUCCAAUGGUUAAUUACUCUCAUAGUAAAAAAUUUACACUUUAUUUUCAGUCUGAAUCUUUCUAGCUUCAACUUCCAUCCCCUAGAUCGUGUUAUACUUUUCUCUGAUACACUGAAGAGCUCAUUAUUAAAUAUUUGUUCCCCAUGUAGAUACUUACAGACUUUGAUCAAAUCACCCCUUAACCAUCUUUUUGUUAAACUAAGUAGAUUGACCACCUUGAGUCUGUCACUGUAAGGCAUGUUUUCUAAUCCUUUAAUCAUUCUCAUGGCUUUCCAAACCCUCCCCAAUUUAUCAAUAUCCUCCUUGAAUUCUGGACUUCAGAACUGGACACAGGAUUCCAGCAGCGGUCGGUCGUAUCAGUGCCCAGUACAGAGGUAAAAUAACCCCUCUACUUCUACUUGAGAUUCCAGUUUAUGUAUCCAGAGAUUGAGCUGAUUAUCCACCAUGAUCCUCCAGUCUUUUUCACAGUCAGUGCUUCCCAGGAAAAGAGCCCCCCGUUGUGCAUGUAUGACUGACAUUCAUUGUUCUUAGAUGUAUAUGUUUACAUUUAGCCAUGUUAAAAUGCAUAUUGUUUGCUUCCGCCCGGUUUACCAAGUAUCCAGAUUGCUGUGUCAGUGACCUGUCAUCUUCAUUACUUACAAAAAUUGGGGGAGUGGUA